AUUCCACAUGUCUCAGUAUUAUACAGAACAAUGGAAAUCAUUCAGUGGAAGCCUGCAUCAGCUGAAUGCUCCUCCUGUGGUGAACAAAGGGGCUUUUAGCCAGAGCUACUGUUGCACUACCUAGUGCAUCACAAGACCUCAAAGGAUGCAAUAAUUCUGAAGACAACAUUCUAAGAAAAUGCCAAGGAUUCUAACACAUUGCAGUGUAAGUUCUGAGCUCCAGUGUAUCUGCGGGUACCCAAAAGAUGUGCUGGGGAACACCCACCAGAUUUUCCCAGCACCUUCCAAACCUGGACCUGUACCACCUAGAAGG